GGAAAGGUGGCAGAGUGGUCGAUUGCACCGGUUUUGAAAACCGGCGUAGCGAGAGCUACCGGGGGUUCGAAUCCCCCCCUUUCCGC
rnacentral:tRNA from 1 species